rnacentral:tRNA from 2 species
GGGCGUGUGGUCUAGUGGUAUGAUUCUCGCUUUGGGUGCGAAAGGCCCUGGGUUCAAUUCCCAGCUCGCCCC